rnacentral:rRNA from 1 species
AUGUGCCGGAAGAGGAGGCGCGUCGUCGUUGGGACCACCUAUGACUACGACCAGGAGUCGCGCCUCGGCGCAGGCAAGUUCGGCGCCGUCGUCAAGGCGCGGUGCCGCGCCACCGGCCAGCUCGUCGCCAUCAAGUCCCUCCACGACCCCGCCGACCCCCACGAGGUGCUGCGGGAGGCCCGCUUCCUCGAGGCCUGCGGCGGCCACCCGCACAUCGUCGGCUUCCGCGGCGUCACGCUCGACUACGUGACCGACGAGCUCUGCCUCGUCAUGGACUACGUCGAGGGCAAGAGCCUCAAACUUCUCCUGAGCGAGAGGGGCGGCGGGCUCCCGGAGGCCACGGUGUGCACCUUCAUGUGGCAACUCCUCACGGCCGCCAAGAAGAUGCACAGGUGCCACAUCGUCCACCGCGACAUCAAUCCUGCUAACAUCCUCGUCGGAGGGGAAGUCGUCAAGAUCUGCGACUUCGGCGUCGCCAUGUCCAUGUCGGAGGCGCCGCCGUACGAGGAGGAGGUUGGCAUGGGCGAGUACCGGGCGCCCGAGAUGCUCCUAGGGAAAGAGGACUACGACGCGCUCGUCGACACAUGGUCUCUUAGGUGCGUCAUGGCGGAGAUGCUCUCGGGCAAGAGGAUUUUCCGGGCCGACGAAUUCAUCUCUCUGUUCCAAAGGAUCUUCCAAGUGGUGGGCGUGCCAGACGACACGACGUGGCCGGGGUUCACGUCGCUGCCGCACACCGCCCCGCCGCCGCUGGUGCCGGGGCAGCAGAGCACGCUGCGAGAUCUGUUCCCGGUGGAGACGCUGUCCGCGGAGGGAUUCGAGGUCCUCAACGGUCUUCUUACAUGCAACCCCGACAACCGGCUGACGGCGGCCGCCGCGCUGAAGCUCCCGUGGUUCGCCACCGUUACUGCUCCUACUGCUGCUGCCAAGAUCGACACGAUGGCGGUGUCCAUAAAGGAGGAGGUGGUGGAGUUCGCUCCGUUGAUGCCUCCCAGAAAGAGAGUCACGGCCAAGAAGACGUUGAUCAGGAAGAAGGUGCCACUGACCGCUCCACCGGCCGCAUGA